UGGCGAACUCCGGUCAGCUGACACGUCCCGGCCAAUCUCCAGCAGACCCUCCCUCCCAGACCCUCCCACCUCCUGGACAGCAUCCAUGGGAGGGAGGGUCUGCUGGAGAUUGGCCGGGACGAGUCAGCUGACCAG